AGGGUUUGAUUCUGGCUCAGAAUGAACGUUGGCGGCGUGGAUUAGGCAUGCAAGUCGAGCGAGAAUUUUAUUGUUGAAGCUUCGGCCGAUUCAAUAAAAGGAAAGCGGCAAACGGCGUAGUAAUGCGUAGGUACGUACCCUCAGGUCGGGAAUAGCCACGGGAAACUGUGGGUAAUGCCCGAUAAUCUCUGCGGAGCAAAGGUGUGAUUCCGCCUGAGGAGCGGCUUACGUGAUAUUAGCUUGUUGGUGGGGUAAUGGCCUACCAAGGCAACGAUGUCUAGGGGGUGUGAGAGCAUGGCCCCCACGACCGGAACUGAGACACUGUCCGGACACCUACGGGUGGCUGCAGUCGAGAAUCUUCCGCAAUGGGCGAAAGCCUGACGGAGCGACGCCGCGUGCGGGAUGAAGGCCCUUGGGUUGUAAACCGCUGUCAGAGGGGAUGAAAUCAUGGUUGGCUAUCCUUCCAUGUUGACAGAGCCUCAAAGGAAGCACGGGCUAAGUACGUGCCAGCAGCCGCGGUAACACGUACUGUGCGAACGUUAUUCGGAAUCACUGGGCUUAAAGGGUACGUAGGCGGUUUAUCAAGUCAGGUGUGAAAUGCCUGAGCUCAACUGAGGCACUGCGCUUGAAACUGAUAAACUAGAGUAUUCCAGGGGUGUGCGGAACUGCCAGUGGAGCGGUGAAAUGCGUUGAUAUUGGCAGGAACACCGGAGGCGAAGGCGGCACACUGGGGGAUAACUGACGCUGAGGUACGAAAGCCAGGGUAGCGAACGGGAUUAGAUACCCCGGUAGUCCUGGCUGUAAACGAUGAGCACUGGGCGAGAGGAAGUUCGCUUCUUUUUGCCGUAGCGAAAGCAUUAAGUGCUCCGCCUGGGGAGUAUGGUCGCAAGGCUGAAACUCAAAUGAAUUGACGG
rnacentral:rRNA from 1 species